GCCAGGCGUGGUGGUGCACACCUGUAAUCCCAGUUACUCAGGAGGCUGAGGCAGGAGAAUCGUUUGAACCCAGGAGGUGGAGGUUGCAGUGAGCCGAGAUCGCACCACUGCACUCCAGCCUGGGCAACAGAGUGAGACCCUGUCUCGA
rnacentral:sRNA from 1 species